AAUAAGUACAGUUUUGCAUUAUUCAUAUCCAACAUUUGAUCGUUCGUCUUAUUUAAUUUUUUUAUGAUUAGUAUUUUUAUUGUUAUUAGAUAAUAAAACAUGAAUAUUACUUUAUGUGUCUAACUUUUUUAUUUUUUAAUUAAUUUUUCAUAUAAGAUGGACGGUCAAACGCUGGAUACGGUUAUCAACGGCUAUACUUAUU
rfam:Oryza meridionalis cultivar OR44 (W2112) chromosome 1, whole genome shotgun sequence.